rnacentral:rRNA from 1 species
UACGUAGGGGGCAAGCGUUGUCCGGAUUUAUUGGGCGUAAAGAGCGUGUAGGCGGCCGGGUAGGUCAGCUGUGAAAACUCGAGGCUUAACCUCGAGACGCCGGCUGAAACCCUCUGGCUAGAGUCCGGAAGAGGAGAGCGGAAUUCCUGGUGUAGCGGUGAAAUGCGUAGAUAUUGGGAGGAACACCAGUGGCGAAGGCGGCUCACUGGACCGGAACUGACGCUGAGGCGCGAAGGCCAGGGGAGCAAACGGG